CUCUCUGCAUUCAGAGGAAGAAGGGCCUGGCUGCAGGGAACUGAGAUAAGGUGAGCGAUCUGGUUCAAGUUCCUGCUCCAUAUCAGGCAGAAGGGGAAUUUGAACCUGAUCUCCCACAUCCCAGGAAUUUUGCAUUGGAGAGGAUAAAUGUGAUAGAAACAGAUGAACUAAUUUUGCAGAGAAUUCUUUGAGCUACCACAUUAAGCCGCAAACUGCAUGGUAUGAUGAGAGAGACUAGGAGACUAGCAACAAUGCUGUAGUACCCAAAAGAAGAUGCAAACCAAGAACUACAGACAAAACUGACCCUGUUUGUAUUUCCUGCUGUAAUUCUUGCUGAUGAGAAGAUGGCUGUUAACAGUGAAGAAGAUGACUGAUCCUGCUGGCUGCUGGAAGUUUUGUUUUAAUUGUUGGAUUGCUCUAUUAUUUGUAAGUCCCUUAUUGUCUAAGAAUGGAUACAUCAAUUUUCCAAAGAAAAAAAGUUUAAGGACAUUCUAAUAAGGUUGCAAGUUUGUAAAGUACAAUGCAUAUCAAUGACAAGAUAAAUAACUAACAGCAGCACAACAACAUUUUCUGAUAUGUAUGCUCCUCCGACAUACAUCUUUGCUGGUUCAAAGCCAGGUUCUAAGUCCUUCAGUCUCCCUAUAUGUAUUUUAUUUAGAGCGCCCCCCCCCCACUCUAUCUGUAUGAAUACAUGUAUUACCCUCUCUUUAAGAGACAGCUAAGGAACUGCAGCCCCAUCUAAUAGAAUCGUUCAUAAUUGGGAAAGUUAUGAAACCAAAGUAGCGUAUUUGUACUCUGGGUCAGUAGCAAUGCACAAAAGCUCAGCUGAAUCAAGAGUAUAUUGCAGCUGUCAAGAAGUCAGGCAGGUACUGUUCCUCUGAGCAUAUAUAUGGCCUAACUGUAGUUCAUCCUAAUGAAUUAUAGUGUGUUUUUACUAGAACAUAUGAAAAAGGUAUCUGAAGCCACCUCAGAAAUAUACUGUGAUUUUAAAAAGUGAUGUAAUCAAUUUAAGCUUGCCUCUCCCACAAAAGUCACAUCCAGGUUGAAAUUUUGUACACCAUGUUUCCAGAUAAUGAAAAUUAAAAUUGUGUUCAAAAUAAAAAGACCAUUUAACACUCCACUGCAAAAUUAUGACCACAAUUCUAUAAUAAAGACCAUGUUCAUAGGACCUUCUGAAGUUUUCUGAAUAAAUAUAUUAUAAAGCUUCUGAACUGGAAAAAAGCAAUCUACCUACAAGAAAGUCCCUUUGCCUUUUUUUAUCCAUUGUACACCUCAGUUGGCUAAUACCAAAAUACAUACACAAAAAAGCUGCUUAAUUUUUAUUGUGGUUGGAAAGAACACAAAGCACCAGAAGUAAGGACACUGAUAUGGAAGGCUGAUAGUCUGCCUUUUAUUCAUCUUGACAUUAACAAUCUUGACUACUUGCAUUCUUUCAACAUUAAAUUUUCUAAAGUUUAUGCUGAAUAAGAUAUGUAAAUUGCCUGACUGAAAUGAACUCAGACAAAUUCUUAUUUAAACUAUAUCCCCUAAAUCUUCCAUGGGUCCAGUUAGGAUCAUGAAGACUUACACAACUCUUUGUUGCUAAGAAAGCUUGUUGGAUGCUUUUGCCAGCCCUCCAUAACAUAUAUUGAAAUGCACUUUUUUAUGCAGCACAAAUGGAAUGUAAUUCUCCACUACCUUGAAACUUGCAUAUUCAUUUGCACCUGUGCAAAGCAAAUCCUAUUUGUUACCAUUUACACCCAUGCUGCAAAGGUUUAAAUGACUAUGCAAGGCAGUAACGACUCAGGCCUAUGAUCUGUAAUAUCAUACAUUAAUAUGAAACACUUGCAGUAUAGAUAGUGCAUGAAAUAGUGGAGUUAAACACUGAGUGGUGUUAAUUUUGAAUACUUUUGCUGGUGAAUGUUUCAGCCUUAA